AGUGAACGCUGGCGGUAGGCCUAACACAUGCAAGUCGAACGGCAGCACAGUAAGAGCUUGCUCUUACGGGUGGCGAGUGGCGGACGGGUGAGGCAUACAUCGGAAUCUACUUUUUCGUGGGGGAUAACGGAGGGACACUUACGCUAAUACCGCAUACGACCUACGGGUGAAAGCAGGAGUUCUUCGGACCUUUCGCGAUUCAUUGAAACGAUGUCGGAUUAGCUAGUUGGCGGGGUAAAGGCCCACCAAGGCGACGAUGCGUAGCUGGUCUGAGAGGAUGAUCGGCCACACUGGAACUGAGACACGGUCCAGACUCCUACGGGAGGCAGCAGUGGGGAAUAUUGGACAAUGGGCGCAAGCCUGAUCCAGCCAUACCGCGUGGGUGAAGAAGGCCUUCGGGUUGUAAAGCCCUUUUGUUGGGAAAGAAAAGCAGCAGGUUAAAACCCCGCUGUUCUGACGGUACCCAAAGAAUAAGCACCGGCUAACUUCGUG
rnacentral:rRNA from 1 species